ACGGGAGCCGAGCCUCGUCUCCGACUUCAACUAUGCAGGUAGACUUCAUCCGGACUCCCAUAGGAGUCAGACUUCAACCCCGACUCCAACUAUGCAGGUAGACUUCAUCCGGACUCCCACGGGAGUCAGACUUUGUCCCCGACUUCAACUGCGUAGGUAGACUUCAUUCAGACUCCUACGGGAGCCGGACUUUGCCCCCGACUUCAACUGCACAGGAAGACUUCAUCCGGAAUCCUACGGGAGCCGAAUUUUGCCCCCG
rnacentral:lncRNA from 1 species